UACGAAGGGGGCUAGCGUUGCUCGGAACUCACUGGGCGUAAAGCGCACGUAGGCGGCUUUUUAAGUCAGGGGUGAAAUCCUGGAGCUCAACUCCAGAACUGCCUUUGAUACUGAGAAGCUUGAGUCCGGGAGAGGUGAGUGGAACUGCGAGUGUAGAGGUGAAAUUCGUAGAUAUUCGCAAGAACACCAGUGGCGAAGGCGGCUCACUGGCCCGGUACUGACGCUGAGGUGCGAAAGCGUGGGGAGCAAACAGG
rnacentral:rRNA from 1 species